GUUAAUCGCGGCUCCGCAGCCACUCAGCAGCAGGGAGACAAAACGGGCGCGGGCCGGGCGGCCGAGGCGCUGUUUGCGGCCCGGAGUCGGGGCCCGCGGGAGCCCGCGCGCUGCGGGGCCGUGGGGCCGUGGAGCCGUGGGGCCGGGUCGCGCUGCCGCCGGCCCCGACUCCGGAGCCCGCCCGCCUCCGUCGCUGCUCCGCCGGCCCCGACCGCGGCCGCGACUGUUUUGGGGCCUGGCCCGGUGGUGGGGUCCGGCCCCCGCCGUCUGAGGGAGCAAGGGAGCCGCCGCCACAGUGAACGCCUGAGGUGCGCACCCGAGGAGGCUGCUGUGCGCAGAUCCGACUCCCCCGGGAGAUUUCACGCGCACCUGGAGCCUUCGUGGAAAGAUGAGGAAGUGGGCAGGACGCGCCUGGCAGACCUACCUCGGCCCGGAUGUCGCCGGUGGCGUGGGGAGGAUUCGGUGGCGAGAAGGUGGCAUCUCCGUGUGCCGGGAGGCACUGGGGCGCUGGCAGUGGGAAUGUGUGGGCAGGCAAACUUUUCAGCACGGGUGGGAUUGUGCUGUCCGCCCACGAUCUGUCAGCCUCUCCAUCGGCCACCUGGUUUUCAUUAAUUUUUAUCUUUUUUUUUUUUUAACAGAAAGAAGAUCUGCCGUCUGCUGGUCACUCCCAAAAUGGCCACAAGGGCCAGAACUGGGCCUGUCUGAAAGCAAGGAGUCAGGCGUCCCACGUGGGUGCAGGGGCCCAAACCUGAACCAUCUUCCACUGCUUUCCCAGGCACACUAGCAGGGAGCUGGAUCAGAAGUGGAGCAGCCGGGACUCGAACCAGCACCCAUGUGGGAUGCCAGUGCCACAGGCAGGGCGCCAGCCACUUGGGCCGCCGCCUUCUGCGUUCCCCAGGCUCCAUCCAGAGUAGAGCAGCGAAGCAGCCGGACUCAGCCGGCGCUCGCAUGGCACGCCGGCAUCGCAGGCGUCAGCUGACUCCGUGGCACCACAGCGCUGGGCCCCUGGGUUCAGAAUUGCUGUGCGUGCACAAGCCAGGACAGCUCUGUCGUCCCUGGGUGUCUCCCUCACAGUGACGCCGGCGUGCAUACGCAUUCCCACACCUUGCUUUUUUGCCCUCGUGUAUCCAGGGCAUGAGUCUAUAACUAUUUAUUUAUUUAUUUAUUUUUGACAGGCAGAGUGGAUAGUGAGAGACAGAGAGAAAGGUCUUCCUUUUGCCGUUGGUUCACCCUCCAAUGGCUGCCACGGCUGGCGUGCUGCGGCCGGCGCACCGUGCUGAUCCGAAGCCAGGAGCCAGGUGCUUCUCCUGGUCUCCCAUGGGGUGCAGGGCCCAAGCACUUGGGCCAUCCUCCACUGCACUCCCUGGCCACAGCAGAGAGCUGGCCUGGAAGAGGGGCAACGGGGACAGAAUCUGGCGCCCCGACCGGGACUAGAACCCGGUGUGCCGGCGCCGCUAGGUGGAGGAUUAGCCUAGUGAGCCGCGGCGCCGGCAUGAGUCUAUAACUGUUUACAGUGCUCAUCAUACAUUUUCCACCUCACAUACAUAGUGUUUUAUGGCAGGGUGAUAGCAUAAUUUACCAACACUCUGUUAGUGAGCACUUAGAUUUGUAGUCUUUUUCGAUUAAACAUUGAUCCAUUUGGAAUGGACUGAGUA